UUCAAUUCGUAUACUUAUGUAAUAAAAUAGGCUUAGAGAGGACUAGUCAGUUUCUGAAAGAUAAUUAUGAUUUAGGAAAUUUUUUGAAGAAUGACAGAAAGGUGUUAACAUAUGCUUAUAGAAUGUUUAAAAUGCCCCCAUGUAUAAAAACAUUUUGUCAAUCUAGUCAAGGACUGACUUACAAGCAUUGUAUUUCUAAGAUAUGUGGCUAACUUAUUAAAUGCUACAAUGUGUGUGUGUAAAAAAUGUAGAGCAGUAGCAUGUAGCUUAUUCAUUUAUGGCGUGUGUGUGCAAUUAUAUGUAGUUAUUAAGAACAGGAUUUUUUUUUUUUUCGUGCGAUGUGACCGGGUGGGUGUGAGUUUGUUCACGCUUUCCUAUGUGUAAAAAAAAUGUAGAGAAGUAGUAUAUAGCUUAUUCAUUUAUGGCGUGUGUGUGUAGUUAUAUGUAGUUAUUAAGAACAGGAUUCUGUUUUUUUUUUCGUGCGACGUGACCGGGUGGGUGUGAGUUUGUUCACGCUUUCCUAUUGUUCGGAUGAAGAAUGGCUUGUGGUUUUGGGCAUGUGCGCGCGUGUUUGCAUACAUGUGUGGGCGUGUCCCCUAUAACCUGGGGUAGCCUCGGAAGAAGAAAAGGCUUGUGGUAGUGUGCGCAUAUGCCCCAAAUAACCCCGGGUAGCUUAGUCAGUCCCCUAACGUUGCGAGAGGAGCGUCAUGGAGGAAGUCUUCGCCGUCAUGAACUUACAACAACAACAACAACAACAACAACAACAACAGCCCCACGCUGCCGCUGCAACUCUUCAUGCUGACGAUGUUGACGAUCAGAUAAUGGGUCAAGCCGCAUUAGAAGUUGAAGCCAUGGAUAACACAUCCCAAGCUGAAGCCGUGGAUAACACAUCACAUCCCAGAAACGGAGCGGAUGUUGGUGGUGGUGAGGUGGGGGAUGUUCCAGAAACUCCCAAGUCUACCGGUGAACAUAUCACGGGCGAGUCAUUGGGCAACAACAACCGCGGCGCGUUGGGAGGUGUCGGUAAAAUGGGGCGGUGUGUGCUGAGGGAAGGAUGUGAUACCUCCAUUACCAGUGUCUCAUCUGAAGAACGACCCACCGGACAGCGUAACGCAUAUCCACGGCAACAACAACAGACACGCUUCGGUGAUGGUGUGUCUUGACUCUCCGUCGGGCGCUGAAUCGCGAGAGCGGCGGCGAAGUCGUCUGCAGCAAAAAGAUCAUGAAAUGCGUCAAUCACGACUGGAAAAAAAAAUGCAGCAUAUGGCGGAAGUGUUGCGGCCGCGCCCACUUCUGACUUGACAUACCCCGCUUGACCUUUCUUGGAAGUGUCAUAGGCGGGGUGGGUGGUGGGGAAGUUACUAAAAUCCAUUAUGGAUUUUAUGAGUGGAAGCGAAUAAAAUUCACUAAUGUCUUGGAAGUUAGAGAUGCAUAUGGUGGCCGAAUCUGUGAGAGUCCUAUAUUUAGUGCUUAACAAUCUUUUUUUAUAUAUGUACUCGCUCUGUGUGUAUUAUUUUUUAUAUAUAUAUGUGCUUGUGUUGUGUAUUUUUUUUCUUCAUUUGUAUAUGUACUCGUGUUGUCAUCCUUUUAUGGGCUGUCUUUGGGCAUGUACGACAUAAGUUUGUAAUAUGUCUCUUUCAAUU